ensembl:lncRNA
GUUAGCAGUGGUGGCACAGGUAUCUUGCUGUAGAUCUGUGUAUAGCUGAAGUAUUCUGAAGGACUUUCUACCUCACAAGCUUGUGGAGCUGGAGGAGUCACUGCCUUAUUUGCAAGUCCUGAGCUAAAACCGAGAGCUGCUCUAAGAGGACAUAUGGCUACCUCCAGACCAGAGUACCCAUCAGUUCUGCAGGAAGGCUGCUGUAAUACUUUUAGCUCUCUUACUCAGCAUGAUGCUGUAUGAGAAAUAAAGAGGGAUAUUUGUAAUAGCUAUGUUAAUAAGCCCCUUUACACUAGUAACACUGAAGAAAGUGCUUUUCUGAUUCUUGUUUAAAACUAAUGUAGGUUUAAGCCACAGUUUAUGAAGGUAACAUCUGGGGGGUAGGAGGGGAGAAGGGAGGGAGUGAUAUGAACCUGUUUGAAGUGCUAACCACUGUCUCCAUCCCUCUGGUCCUUUAGCUGUGCCCAGCAGCACUUCAGCAGAAGAAAGGAGCAUCCUUGAUGUGGAGUACUCUGAGUUAGAUUUCAUCUUGACUUCUCAUUUUAACAAACACUGAGGAGGUGUCUUGAGGUACUCUGUUGUUGCAGCAGCCCAGGUGAAGCUUGUGGAAUCUUUCUGCACCAGCUGCCAGCAGCCUGACUCUCUCAGUGAGAGCUCUAAAGAGCAACAGGUGGGACCUUCCCAAGGCACGCUGGUAUGAGCAGCACUUUGUGGAGAUGAAUUCAAGCUUACUUUAUAGUGAGUUACAGGUCAGUUCUGUAAAUGCUUAGCUGUAUGCCGAAGCAUGAAUUCUGACGGACCCACUGUUGGUUUUGAAUUCAAGCUUGCCUUUACGUGGCCUCGAAAAACCAUCUACUUGGGUGUAUAUUUUUCUACACAAACCCACGAGAGGGCAGCAGACAGCAAGGGUUCGGGCAGUGCCUCACUACAGGCAGCUCAGGCAGCACCCAGCAAACGGGGAACGAAGCUGGUCGUUGGUUACAGAGCAUUAAAACCAUCUCGAGUCGGGUCUGGAAAGAAAAUGUGAUAGAUACUGUAAUUUUAGAUGAACUUUGUCUCUGACAUUGGAAUCUGCCACUCUCCUUUGGCUCCUGUUUUUACAUCUGCAAGGGCUGUGUUUUUAUUGAAAGGCGGAUGGAAGCAAGCUGGGUUUAAAAACAAUUAUCACGAUAGUAAAGGUGCUGUAGAUAUAAUGGAAAAAAUAUAGUGAAAUAAAAAUUGUGAAAAUUAAUGGUAAUGAAUUGUAACAACACACUUGACAGCUAUUUCAAGGCUUGAAAUAGCACAGAUAAUUAGACAACUGAGAAGUUGCUACAGCAUGUAUGGUUUUGUUCAUACUCAGAUCAUUUUAUCUUAUUAAAAAACAUGAAUUCAGAGACUGUUGCAAUCACUGGAACAACUGAACUACUUAUAUGCAAUUGGAAUUUCUCACUUAGGCCCAAUAGCGUGGCAUGCUAUGUUUCUGAAUGUAGUAUUUCAUUAAUUAGAAAUUAAAUCACCCAUGCUUGUGACAGUAACACAUUGGCUUUGUAAUGUAGUGAUAAUGAAAAGGAU